UAAUACGGGGGGAGCGAGCGUUGUUCGGAAUCACUGGGCGUAAAGGGCGUGUAGGCGGUUGGAUAAGUCAGAGGUGAAAUCCCAGGGCUUAACCUUGGAAUUGCCUUCGAUACUGUCCGACUAGAGGACGGAAGAGGAUAGUGGAAUUCCUGGUGUAGCGGUGAAAUGCGUAGAUAUCAGGAAGAACACCGGUGGCGAAGGCGGCUAUCUGGUCCGUUACUGACGCUGAUGCGCGAAAGCCAGGGGAGCAAACGGGAUUAGAUACCCCGGUAGUCCUGGCCGUAAACGAUGGGCACUGGGUGUAGGAGGUAUCGACCCCUCCUGUGCCGAAGCUAACGCAUUAAGUGCCCCGCCUGGGGAGUACGGUCGCAAGGCUG
rnacentral:rRNA from 1 species